rnacentral:rRNA from 1 species
GACGGAGGAUGCGAGCGUUAUUCGGAUUUAUUGGGCGUAAAGCGUGCGUAGGCGGCUAUUUAAGUCUGGUGUUAAAGCUAGGGGCUCAACCCCUGUGAUGCACUGGAUACUGGGUAGCUUGAGUGCGGUAGGGGAAGGUGGAAUUCCGAGUGUAGCGGUGAAAUGCGUAGAUAUUCGGAAGAACACCGGUGGCGAAGGCGACCUUCUGGGCCGCAACUGACGCUGAGGCACGAAAGCCUGGGGAGCGAACGGG